CUCCUACGGGUGGCAGCAGUGAGGAAUAUUGGUCAAUGGGCGCAAGCCUGAACCAGCCAUGCCGCGUGCAGGAUGAAGCAUCUAUGGUGUGUAAACUGCUUUUGUACGGGAAGAAACACCUCUACGUGUAGAGGCUUGACGGUACCGUAAGAAUAAGGAUCGGCUAACUCCGUGCCAGCAGCCGCGGUAAUACGGAGGAUCCAAGCGUUAUCCGGAAUCAUUGGGUUUAAAGGGUCCGUAGGCGGUUUUAUAAGUCAGUGGUGAAAUCCGGCAGCUCAACUGUCGAACUGCCAUUGAUACUGUAGAACUUGAAUUAUUGUGAAGUAACUAGAAUAUGUAGUGUAGCGGUGAAAUGCUUAGAUAUUACAUGGAAUACCCAUUGCGAAGGCAGGUUACUAACAAUGGAUUGACGCUGAUGGACGAAAGCGUGGGGAGCGAACAGGAUUAGAUACCCUGGUAGUCCACGCCGUAAACGAUGGAUACUAGCUGUUUGGUUGUAAGACUGAGUGGCUAAGCGAAAGUGAUAA
rnacentral:rRNA from 1 species